GACGAACGCUGGCGGCGUGCCUAACACAUGCAAGUCGAACGGAAAGGCCCUGCUUUUGUGGGGUGCUCGAGUGGCGAACGGGUGAGUAACACGUGAGUAACCUGCCCUUGACUUUGGGAUAACUUCAGGAAACUGGGGCUAAUACCGGAUAGGAGCUCCUGCUGCAUGGUGGGGGUUGGAAAGUUUCGGCGGUUGGGGAUGGACUCGCGGCUUAUCAGCUUGUUGGUGGGGUAGUGGCUUACCAAGGCUUUGACGGGUAGCCGGCCUGAGAGGGUGACCGGCCACAUUGGGACUGAGAUAUGGCCCAGACUCCUACGGGAGGCAGCAGUGGGGAAUAUUGCACAAUGGGCGGAAGCCUGAUGCAGCAACGCCGCGUGCGGGAUGACGGCCUUCGGGUUGUAAACCGCUUUCGCCUGUGACGAAGCGUGAGUGACGGUAAUGGGUAAAGAAGCACCGGCUAACUACGUG
rnacentral:rRNA from 1 species